AUUGAACGCUGGCGGCAGGCCUAACACAUGCAAGUCGAGCGGAUGAAGGGAGCCUGCUCCUGGAUUCAGCGGCGGACGGGUGAGUAAUGCCUAGGAAUCUGCCUGGUAGUGGGGGAUAACGUCCGGAAACGGGCGCUAAUACCGCAUACGUCCUGAGGGAGAAAGUGGGGGAUCUUCGGACCUCACGCUAUCAGAUGAGCCUAGGUCGGAUUAGCUAGUUGGUGGGGUAAAGGCCUACCAAGGCGACGAUCCGUAACUGGUCUGAGAGGAUGAUCAGUCACACUGGAACUGAGACACGGUCCAGACUCCUACGGGAGGCAGCAGUGGGGAAUAUUGGACAAUGGGCGAAAGCCUGAUCCAGCCAUGCCGCGUGUGUGAAGAAGGUCUUCGGAUUGUAAAGCACUUUAAGUUGGGAGGAAGGGCAGUAAGUUAAUACCUUGCUGUUUUGACGUUACCAACAGAAUAAGCACCGGCUAACUUCGU
rnacentral:rRNA from 1 species